AAUAUGGCUGCUCUUUGGAAGCUUGUCAAUUUUUCUUGCAAAACACGAAGAAUAUUCUUUUGCGUCCCAUCAUAUUUACACUAUAAAAGUGACAGAACAAACAAGUGUUUUUGGUCAGUGUUUUUCUCCAAACGCUUUUUUUUAAAUCGAUAUGUUGGAUAUUUUCAACUUUCAAACCCUGAAAAUAAACUUGCUGUUCAUUACGAUAAGCUCCACGACGGCCAUAAAAUCGCCAAAUUUCACUCUAUAACACCUACAACCACCAUCAAACCAUCAUUACCCCUGGAAACACAUGGUCACUGGAUUGUUCGAAGAUUUCCAACUUUAAAUCAGAUCCAACGCGGCAAACGUCGAACAAAAGCAAAAAAACUGAAGUCAACGGCGAAAAAAUCAAAUGAAAUUCUAAAAGGUCCUCAGAGGAAAGGUGUUUGUGUAAAGGUUUUUAUCAGGAAACCUAAAAAACCAAACUCCGCAAACAGAAAAUGUGCUUUAUUAAGACUGAACAAUGGUCAAACUAUAAUCGCUUAUAUUCCUGGUGAAAAAGCGAGUCUACAAGAACAUGGUGUUGUACUUUUUGAGGGUGGAAGGGUUCAGGAUUGUCCAGGAGUUAGAUAUAAAAUAAUACGUGGAAAAUAUGACGUGAAUUAAAAUCUUGUUUGUUA